GUCGAGCGGUAGCACAGAGAAGCUUGCUUCUUGGGUGACGAGCGGCGGACGGGUGAGUAAUGCAUAGGAAUCUGCCCGAUAGUGGGGGAUAACCUGGGGAAACCCAGGCUAAUACCGCAUACGUCCUACGGGAGAAAGGGGGCUUUGGCUCCCGCUAUUGGAUGAGCCUAUGUCGGAUUAGCUAGUUGGUGAGGUAAUGGCUCACCAAGGCGACGAUCCGUAGCUGGUCUGAGAGGAUGAUCAGCCACAUCGGGACUGAGACACGGCCCGAACUCCUACGGGAGGCAGCAGUGGGGAAUAUUGGACAAUGGGGGCAACCCUGAUCCAGCCAUGCCGCGUGUGUGAAGAAGGCCUUAGGGUUGUAAAGCACUUUCAGCGAGGAAGAACGCCUAGUGGUUAAUACCCAUUAGGAAAGACAUCACUCGCAGAAGAAGCACCGGCUAACUCCGUGCCAGCAGCCGCGGUAAUACGGAGGGUGCAAGCGUUAAUCGGAAUUACUGGGCGUAAAGCGCGCGUAGGUGGCUUUAUAAGCCGGUUGUGAAAGCCCCGGGCUCAACCUGGGAACGGCAUCCGGAACUGUGAGGCUAGAGUACAGGAGAGGAAGGUAGAAUUCCCGGUGUAGCGGUGAAAUGCGUAGAGAUCGGGAGGAAUACCAGUGGCGAAGGCGGCCUUCUGGACUGAUACUGACACUGAGGUGCGAAAGCGUGGGUAGCAAACAGGAUUAGAUACCCUGGUAGUCCACGCCGUAAACGAUGUCGACCAGCCGUUGGGUGCCUAGAGCACUUUGUGGCGAAGUUAACGCGAUAAGUCGACCGCCUGGGGAGUACGGCCGCAAGGUUAAAACUCAAAUGAAUUGACGGGGGCCCGCACAAGCGGUGGAGCAUGUGGUUUAAUUCGAUGCAACGCGAAGAACCUUUACCUACCCUUGACAUCUAUAGAAGAUUGCAGAGAUGCGAUUGUGCCUUCGGGAACUAUAGACAGGUGCUGCAUGGCUGUCGUCAGCUCGUGUUGUGAAAUGUUGGGUUAAGUCCCGUAACGAGCGCAACCCUUGUCCUUAUUUGCCAGCGAGUAAUGUCGGGAACUCUAAGGAGACUGCCGGUGACAACCGGAGAGGUGGGGACGACGUCUAGUCAUCAUGUCCUUACGGGUAGGGCUACCACCUGUCUUACAAUGCCGGGACAAAGGGCUGCCGACUCGCGAAAGUACCGAAUCCCUUAAAGCCGUUCCUGACUCGGAAUCGGAAUCUGCAAUCUCGCAACUCCGUG
rnacentral:rRNA from 1 species